rnacentral:rRNA from 1 species
UACGUAGGGUGCAAGCGUUUGUCCGGAAUUAUUGGGCGUAAAGAGCUCGUAGGCGGUUUGUUGCGUCGGCUGUGAAAUCCCGAGGCUCAACCUCGGGUCUGCAGUCGAUACGAGCAAACUAGAGUGUUGCAGGGGAGACUGGAAUUCCUGGUGUAGCGGUGAAAUGCGCAGAUAUCAGGAGGAACACCCGUGGCGAAGGCGGCUCUCUGGGACGGUACUGACGCUGAGGUGCGAAAGCGUGGGGAGCAAACAGG